rnacentral:rRNA from 1 species
GACGAACGCUGGCGGCGUGCCUAAUACAUGCAAGUAGGACGCAGUUGCGCACGGGUGAGUAACGCGUAGGUAACUGCCUAUUAGAGGGGGAUAACUAUUGGAAACGAUAGCUAAUACCGCAUACUAGUAGAUGGACCUUCUUUGUAUUAGCUAGUAGGUAGGGUAAUGGCCUACCGAGGCAACGAUACAUAGCCGAAGUGAGAGGGUGAUCGGCCAAAAUGGGAAUGAGACACGGCCCAGACUCCUACGGGAGGCAGCAGUAGGGAAUCUUCGGCAAUGGGGGGAAACCUGAACGAGAAACGCCGCGUGAGUGAAGAAGGUUUUCGGAUCGGAAAGAUCUGUUGUUAAGGAAGCGGUACUUAACCAGAAAGGGACGGCUAACUACGUGCCAGCAGCCGCGGUAAUUC